rnacentral:piRNA from 1 species
UGCUGUGAACAGACACCAUGACCAAGGCAAC